CUGUCAGUACAUGAUCUCUAAGUAAUUCGUGUUACUGUUUCUAAGAAAUUGGUUUGCUAUGUGAGCUGCCAGUACAUGAUCUCUAUGUAAUUCGUGUUACUGUUCUAAGUUGUUAGUUCACUAUGCCUCAGUACAUGAUCUCUAAGUAAUUCAUGUUACUGUUUCUAAGUUGUUAGUUCACUAUGCCUCAGUACAUGAUCUCUAAGUAAUUCAUGUUACUGUUUCUAAGAUGUUAGUUCACUAUGCCUCAGUACAUGAUCUCUAAGUAAUUCAUGGUACUGUUUCUAAGAAAUUGAUUUGCUAUGUGAACUGCCGGUACAUGAUCUCUAAGUAAUUCGUGUUACUGUUUCUAAGUUGUUAGUUCACUAUGCCUCAGUACAUGAUCUCUAAGUAAUUCAUGUUACUGUUUCUAAGUUGUUAGUUCACUAUGCCUCAGUACAUGAUCUCUAAGUAAUUCAUGUUACUGUUUCUAAGAUGUUAGUUCACUAUGCCUCAGUACAUGAUCUCUAAGUAAUUCAUGGUACUGUUUCUAAGAAAUUGAUUUGCUAUGUGAACUGCCGGUACAUGAUCUCUAAGUAAUUCGUGUUACUGUUUCUAAGUUGUUAGUUCAUUAUGCCUCAGUACAUGAUCUCUAAGUAAUUCAUGUGACUGUUUCUAAGAAAAUGGUUUGCUAUGUGAACUGCCAGUACAUGAUCUCUAAGUAAUUCAUGUGACUGUUUCUAAGUUGUAAGUUCACUAUGCCUCAGUACAUGAUCUCUAAGUAAUUCAUGUGACUGUUUCUAAGUUGUUAGUUUACUAUGCCUCAGUACAUGAUCUCUAAGUAAUUCAUGGGACUGUUUCUAAGAAAUUGGUUUGCUAUGUGAACUGCCAGUACAUGAUCUCUAAGUAAUUCGUGUUACUGUUUCUAAGAUGUUAGUUCACUAUAUAUCAGUACAUGAUCUCUAAGUAAUUUAUGUUACUGUUUCUAAGAAAUUGGUUUCCUAUAUGAACUGCCAGUACAUGAUCUCUAAGUAAUUCAUGUUACUGUUUCUAAGUUGUUAGUUCACUAUGCCUCAGUACAUGAUCUCUAAGUAAUUCAUGUUACUGUUUCUAAGUUGUUAGUUCAUUAUGCUUCAGUACAUAAUCUCUUAUGUAAUUCAUGUGACUGUUUCUAAGAAAUUGGUUUGCUAUGUGAACUGCCAGUACAUGAACUCUAAGUAAUUCACGUUACUGUUUCUAAGUUGUUAGUUCACUAUGUCUCAGUACAUGAUCUCUAAGUAAUUCAUGUUACUGUUUCUAAGUUGUUAGUUCAUUAUGCUUCAGUACAUAAUCUCUAUGUAAUUCAUGUGACUGUUUCUAAGAAAUUGGUUUGCUAUGUGAACUGCCAGUACAUGAUCUCUAAGUAAUUCGUGUUACUGUUUCUAAGUUGUUAGUUCACUAUGCCUCAGUACAUGAUCUCUAAGUAAUUCAUUUUACUGUUUCUAAGUUGUUAGUUCACUAUGCCUCAGUACAUGAUCUCUAAGUAAUUCAUAUUACUGUUUCUAAGAUGUUAGUUCACUAUAUCUCAGUACAUAAUCGCUAAGUAAUUCAUGGUACUGUUUCUAAGAAAUUGGUUUACUAUGUGAACUGCCAGUACAUGAUCUCUAAGUAUUUCUUAUAACUGUUUCUAAGAAAGUGUUUUGCUAUGUGAUCUGACAAUUCAUGAUAUAAGUAAGUACUGUUUCCAAUAUAUUAGUUCACUAUGUCUCAGUACUAUAUCUCAAGUUAUUCCUGUUACUGUUUAAAUAAAAAAUGGUUUACUAGGUACCAGCAUAUGAUAUGUUCUUUUAGUAAUCGGGGUUACUGUUUCUAAGUAAUUGGUUAUUUUGUGGACUGCCAAUACGAGCUGUUUAAGUAAUUACAGGCAUCGAAUCUAAAAUGUAAUAUCAUGUAAUUGUAGCAGGGGCUAUUUUCCUUAUAAUUUUGAAUUCAUACAUACAUUUUAACUAUAAUAAUAGUUGCAUUUUCCUCAGUUGUAACCAUGCCGAGGAAGCGGCCAGCCGCACACGAGUCUGCCAAACAAAAUCAAAAAGAACGAAAAUUGAUAACCAGUCGGCGAAAGCAGUCAAUCAGCCACUAAACAUCGAUUACGAGAAAUUAGCUGCAGAUAUUUUGAAACGGCAAAAUGACAGCAAGAAUCAAAACCAUGUAGAAACGGAGGAAUCAGCAGAGUCAACUGUAGCUCAGUCCUCUGGCACUGUGGAUUAGCCGAAUAGUCCUGACACUAGCAAUAACAUCUCUACUUUAAUUAACCAAAUAUUUAAUACAGAGAGCUUUCAGGGAAGCUCCAUACUUGGCCAAACAACCAACACACGUUCCAUGCCAGCUUUGCACAUUUGACACCGAUAGCAUGCGACUUAAUACAAGCCUCUCUCAACCCUGCUACAAAAAGGCAUAUCUACAUACAUGGGAUAAGCUGUGUCAUUGGUCAGCAUCAAAGCUUACUCUCCCAUUACAAAUCUCUACAAUUUGUAACUUUUUGGCUCACCUAUAUGAAAACAAUUAUUCGGCAAGCACGUUAGCAUCACAGGUUUCCGCCAUUUCAUUUCUUCAUAAAAUUUUAAACUUGCCAAACCCAUUUUCUAGUACAAAAAUUGUUAAAAGGCUGUCAAAAAUCAUGUCAUGGGGCAGACUCGCGAUUCCCAAUAACAGGAAAUUCUCAUGAAACUCAUCAAUGCCACACAUCAUACAUGCUCCAAUUUUCUUCACCGUGUUUUAUUGAAAGCAUUGUUUCUCACUGCCUUUUUCGGAUUUUUCAUACUAGGGGAAUUAGUUACGAAGUCAAAACAGGCUAUAGUUCAAGUAAUACAAAAGUCAGACGUCCAUUUCGAAGCAAAAGAAGAGAAGUUAACCAGUGUAAGCUUAAUUUUACGUCAUGCAAAAACUAUGCAAGCUGACCAAUCAAUUACUAUAUGCUUAGAGGUCAAGCCUGACAAGGAAUUCUGUCCAGUUUUUGCUCUCUUUCACUAUUUCCGUAAAUUCAAACAUUCAAGUGGUCCCCUUUUUCAGUUUAUUAACGGGGCCCCAGUUUUACAUUCAUUUGUUUCAAAACAAUUAGAGGCAGCUAUUUCAUUCAUGGGUUUGAAUCCAAAAUUGUACAAAGGUCACAGUUUUCGAAUCGGAGCAGCAACACAUGCAGCUAGGUUAGGUUUUUCUGAAAACGCGAUACAGCGAAUGGGUCGAUGGAAGUCCGAUGCUGUUAAGAGAUAUAUAAGGACGGGUUCUUUUACUCUUUUAAUCUAAUGAGUCAGAUUAUGUCUGUCAUAUUCCCCUGUAGGUGUCACUAGAUCACUCAACAUUAGAUGGGUCAGAUUAUGUCUGUCAUCCUCCCAUGCAGAGACCGUCUUCAUAUCAACAUUAGAUGGGUCAGAUUAUGUCUGCCAUCCUCCCAUAGACCGUCUUCAGAUCAACAUUAGAUGGGUCAGAUUAUGUCUGCCAUCCUCCCAUAGACCGUCUUUAUAUCAACAUUAGAUGGGUCAGAUUAUGUCUGCCAUCAUUCUAUGACUCUUAGUAUAUGUAAGUUGUUAGUGAUGAGUAGGCCAGAUUAUGUCUGCUACUUUCUCCGACACCUGUGCUGCUAGUAUACAUGUACUCCUGUAUGUGCUAAAUAGGUGACACUGAUGUAAUCCAGGUCAUAGAAUCAGGAGUUUUGCUGGCUAUUUGAAAUUGUAUAAGUAUUCUGUUGUGUUAUGUAUUAUUGAAUUUCCUUUUCUCAAGAUUUUCUGAUAUCAAAGAGGAUUUUCUUUCCUCUGGCAUGUUUAUAUGUUGUUUCCCUUGGGUGGCGGAAAAUCCAAUGUUUAUUGGAUUUUGGUGGCCUAUUGUUUGUUGCCACCUUAUUUUUCAUCAUAGUGAUUAUAAUUUUCACACUAUAUCUUAACAUGUAACUUUGGGAGAUCCUAAACCAAGUCUAUGUACAAUUUGAUAAGAAAGUAGGAUCUCCCUAAUUGUUUAUCUUGAUAUCUUCUUGUCAUUAAUAAAUGACAGUUUUACAA